UUACAGAAGGUGCUUAUCCAUAUUUUGUAAAUGUCUUAUCGAGGCAACGACUUGCGGAAUGUCUGCCUCUCUGACGCAAGACUUGUCAUGCACUACAUCAAACUGAGGUUACACACAUACAUCACUGACUCACUGAGUCAUUGGACCGAAACGAAAGAAACAAAACAGCUGGGCUGGGACGUUCUUCUGCUGGCGAUACGCCUUGUCACAAACUCCUGGAAGUACCCCAUGAUCGGAAGUGUCUGCAGGCGUUAGACGCACUACGAUGCGUUAUGCCCAGAGCAACUGCGGAUAAGCGUCGAUCACUCGAGCGAGCGUCACUCUUCUCACGAACUCAAAAACACAAUAUUUUCACAAAUGGUGUUUAUUGCCAUAGUUUCAAUGUCAGUGCGUUUCUUCGAUUCUACACGAUGUGAGUGUACGCUGUGAGAAUGACAUUCUCUGGAACAUCCCACGCUCAGCUUUCAUUCUCAUUGUGCAGAAUCAAGGAAGGAACCUCCACACCACCCUUAAGUAUAAUGUUUAAAGUUUGUCAUGAAUAAAUUAAUUAUAUUCUUAGGAUAUAGUUUCUCACUUCCACUUUCCAAAAAUGAAAGUUUGUCAGCCGCAGAGAAAGACUACAUAGUCCCCUGGAUCAUUGUUCAGAGACUGAGGCCUGAGGCCAUCGUGGAAUCACCUUUACCUCAAGUAGUUGUCAGUAUAUUGGAGGAGUUCAGCUUUGACAUCCAUACAUAGCAGCAGCUAUGAAAUAUAAGUACCUAAAUAUAAUCACAUACUUCUGUUUUUAAAGAAAACAAAAUGCGUACUCUUUUGUUAUUAAAUAAUUGUUUAUCUUCUGCUCAUUGUUUGUUCUUAGGUCGUUUCUCAUUUCUCUAUCAAAGUUGGAUAUCGGCUACUGACUUUUGACAAGUUUAACUAUUCUAGUCUUCACUUUAAGGCGGAGGCAGAAAACUUGAGUGCUGCUGCAGUUUAAACAGGAAGUGUGGACAAGAACAAUGUUGUAGCCAAAACAAGUUCCUACAAAAUUAUUUGAUGUGAUUUUUUUUUAAGUAAUAAAAUUUCAGUCCUUUAGUCCCCAGCUGUUUACUUGUUUCCACUCUGGCCCCUUCACUACCCAUAAUCUAAUAUUUUGGUAAGAAUUGCCAAUACUA